rnacentral:lncRNA from 1 species
GUGGGGGAAAGUUCUCAUCAGGAACACUCGGGCUCUGGCAGCUGAAGAGCUCUUCAGAGCAAGAGUGCUGCUGUGGGAGGCAGAAGCUCUGUCAGAGGCUUUGGUGAAGCGGGCGGUGGAGGAGAGGGUUCAAGCAGGAUGCUGGUAGUUGCAGACUACAGGAAGCUUUCCCUUCACCGCCGGACCGAUCUAUGGCAAAGAAGUAAGAACCUCAGGCUGCCUGAAUGAAGUUUUUCUUAUAAGAAUACUCCAGUGCUAAUGACGACAACAAUGAAGGAACCAGCAAUUCAGUACUGGAGGAUGCUGCUGAGGGAACACUGACAUAAGGGCAGGUAAUUAGUGCUGCUGUUUCUACUAAAAUUAGGGGAAGGAAAAAAAGAAGUUUAGUCACUAGAGCAAAGGGAUUUUUAAAUUGCCAAGAAAUCUUAUUUACUGUGUGAAUCCAGCUGAACUAAGUAAGCUAAUCAGUAUGGUGGGCAAAUUCUAUUAACAGUAUAAAAAUACCAACUGAAUAAUUAAAUUGUAGUAAGGAAGAGUAAAUACUUUGAGGAAAAGGGCAAAACUGACACAGCCUGAGUAGAUCCAUGGAGUUACUCCUCUUCAGAUGUUUUCUGCCCCUCUCAAAUAAUCAAAGACAUAACACUGUGUACUGGUUCUAGCUGUAUAGAGCCUUUCACUAUUGCCCGAAUGAG